GUGCUCGCUUUGGCAGCACAUAUAUUAAAGUUGGAACGAUACAGAGAAUAUUAGCAUGGCCCCUGUGCAAGGAUGACACAUAAAUUCGUGAAGCGUUCCAUAUUAAA